UGCCCGGUAGCUAAAUGCGGAAGAGAUAAGUGCUGAAAGCAUCUAAGCACGAAACUUGCCCCGAGAUGAGUUCUCCCUGACCCUUUAAGGGUCCUGAAGGAACGUUGAAGACGACGACGUUGAUAGGCCGGGUGUGUAAGCGCAGCGAUGCGUUGAGCUAACCGGUACUAAUGAACCGUGAGGCUUAACCUUAC
rnacentral:rRNA from 1 species